rnacentral:ncRNA from 1 species
GGCGCGGUCAACGAGUCGGGUUGUUUGGGAAUGCAGCCCAAAUCGGGCGGUAGACUCCGUCCAAGGCUAAAUACAGGCGAGAGACCGAUAGCGAACAAGUACCGCGAGGGAAAGAUGAAAAGCACUUUGAAAAGAGAGUCAAAGAGUGCUUGAAAUUGCCGGGAGGGAAGCGGAUGGGGGCCAGCGAUGCGCCCCGGCCGUAUGCGGAACGGCUC